AGUGAACGCUGGCGGUAGGCCUAACACAUGCAAGUCGAACGGCAGCACAGUAAGAGCUUGCUCUUACGGGUGGCGAGUGGCGGACGGGUGAGGAAUACAUCGGAAUCUACUUUUUCGUGGGGGAUAACGUAGGGAAACUUACGCUAAUACCGCAUACGACCUACGGGUGAAAGCAGGGGAUCUUCGGACCUUGCGCGAUUGAAUGAGCCGAUGUCGGAUUAGCUAGUUGGCGGGGUAAAGGCCCACCAAGGCGACGAUCCGUAGCUGGUCUGAGAGGAUGAUCAGCCACACUGGAACUGAAACACGGUCCGGACUCCUACGGGAGGCAGCAUUGGGGAAUAUUGGACAAUGGGCGCAAGCCUGAUCCACCCAUACCGCGUGGGUGAAGAAGGCCUUCGGGUUGUAAAGCCCUUUUGUUGGGAAAGAAAAGCAGCAGGUUAAUACCCCGCUGUUCGGACGGUACCCAAAGAAUAAGCACCGGCUAACUUCGU
rnacentral:rRNA from 1 species